UACGUAGGGUGCGAGCGUUAAUCGGAAUUACUGGGCGUAAAGGGCGCGUAGGCGGCCAGCACAAGUCAGUUGUGAAAUCUCCGAGCUUAACUCGGAAAGGUCAACUGAUACUGUGCGGCUAGAGUGCGGAAGGGGCAACUGGAAUUCUUGGUGUAGCGGUGAAAUGCGUAGAUAUCAAGAGGAACACCUGCGGCGAAGGCGGGUUGCUGGGCCGACACUGACGCUGAGGCGCGAAAGCCAGGGGAGCGAACGGG
rnacentral:rRNA from 1 species